rnacentral:rRNA from 1 species
CGCGUAGGCUGCGGGGUAAGUCGGGUGUGAAAUCUCAGAGCUCAACUCUGAAACUGCACUCGAUACUGCUUUGCUUGAGGACCGGAGAGGAGAUUGGAAUUCACGGUGUAGCAGUGAAAUGCGUAGAUAUCGUGAGGAAGACCAGUGGCGAAGGCGGAUCUCUGGACAGUUCCUGACGCUGAGGCGCGAAGGCCAGGGGAGCAAACG